AACUGCUGACUGCUCAUAACUUGCAGAUGAUUGUUGACGCAUCAACCAGGAUUAAGGUGAAGGGCAACUUGGGACUGUUGUUGAUUUCAUAAUCAGUGGCUGUAUUGGAGACCGCUGUAAGUGGUGGUCAUGCCAGUAGCAGUCUUGUCUGUGACACUAUGACCGUCGCUGAAACAAAGACUGCUCUCCUAAGUUGUUCUGCAGAGUUAAUCGAGAAAGGCUCCACACCACUCACUCACUUGAGCAUUACAGACAGUCCCCACCCCUUGGCUGCAACCCUUCUAAUUUUGUGUACUCUGUGCGCCAAACCAUGUGGAAAUCCGGGUCUCUGGAAGUGUUUGGAACUGCCGAUCUGCGGUCAAGAACGCCAAAUUCAUUUCAGCCUAUGCUGCUCUUCAGUCCCUUGACUUUUUGGCCCUGACAGAGACAUGGAUCACCCCAGAGAUCACUGCUGCUCUCUUCAUCUGAUGAUUGUCGAGGUGCCCUUGGAGAGUUUCUCAAUGAGCUUGACACCUUGAGAAGAUCAUUUCCUGACGACGGUUCACUGCUUUUCGUACUGGGCGACUUUAACCUCCUGACCUCUGCCUUCGCUUAAAUUCUGUCCAACUCUCUCUUACCCCUCCUUGCCUCUUGACCUCACUCUUUCCCAAUCUCCUCCAACUCACAAGGCAGGCAAUACCCUUGAUGUCAUCUUUACUAGACGCUGUUUGCCUACUAAUCUCAGUGCAACCACCCUUCCAGGUCUUUGAUCACUUCUUUGUUUGCUUUUCUGUCUCCCUUUCCUCCAACUCAAGCCACUCAGCCCCUACCCAGAUGGUCAUGCACCGUCACAAUCUUCACUCUCUCUUCCACUGCUCUUCUAUCCUAUCAUCUCUCCUCCCUCCUUUCUCCUGAUUUUUGCCUCUUCGAUCCUACUCCUCCCUUUCUGCAUCCUAUGACUCGCACUCUCCCCUUUCCACCCGGCUGGCUCUGCCCUUCUCUGUGGCUGAGUGACUCAUUGCGAGCUUACAGAACAGGGCUGCUGGCAGCUGAGCAAAAAUUGAGGAAAACUACACUUCCGGAGGACCAAUCAUCCUUUCACUUUCUCUUCCUCUGUAUCCAUUGCUAAAGCCACAUAUCACUCUAAAUUUCAAGCUUCUGCCUCUAAACCUAAAACUCUAUUCUCCACCCCCUCCUUUCUCUCUGCAGACAACUUUGUCAACCACUGAAAAGAAGGUUGACAUCCGCUCCUCAUUCACUCAGUCUAUUGAGUCCACUGGGUUUAGGAUAUAAACUAGUGGGACACUCACAUCCUGUUGUAAAUCAAGGGAGAAGAUCCAGACCUGUGCUCUCAAUUCACCAAAGGAUUGUGCUUUGUCUCAACAGACCUUUUUCUAGCUGAAAUUCUAACACAUUCAAAAUGGAAUAUUGGAACAAUAUUUAGAAUGUCAGAAAUGGUCAGAGGUGAUCUAUAGAACAUUCAUUUUGUUUUAUUUUGUGAUGUCAUUAAAGGUAUUGUCACAUCUACUCCCGCUCCACGGCACUCAACGUUGCCGGUUUACUAAUCACUUGCUCUGACAACCAUUAUGAAACUCACCUGGACUCCAUUACCACACUAAUUACCUCCCCAUAUAUCUGUCACUCCCCAGGCAGUAUUGACUGUGUUUUGUCUAGAUGCUACUCUUGUUCAUUAUAUUAAACUCACCACAUGCACCUGCUUCU